AGACAGCAGCAGCCGCGGUAAUACAGAGGGUGCGAGCGUUAAUCGGAUUUACUGGGCGUAAAGCGUGCGUAGGCGGCUUUUUAAGUCGGAUGUGAAAUCCCUGAGCUUAACUUAGGAAUUGCAUUCGAUACUGGGAAGCUAGAGUAUGGGAGAGGAUGGUAGAAUUCCAGGUGUAGCGGUGAAAUGCGUAGAGAUCUGGAGGAAUACCGAUGGCGAAGGCAGCCAUCUGGCCUAAUACUGACGCUGAUGUACGAAAGCAUGGGGAGCAAACAGGAUUAGAUACCCGCGUAGUCCCUGUCUCUUAUAC
rnacentral:rRNA from 1 species